GGGCGAGCGUUAUCCGGAUUCAUCGGGCGUAAAGCGCACGCAGGCGGUUUGUUAAGUCAGAUGUGAAAUCCCCGGGCUCAACCUGGGAACUGCAUCUGAUACUGGCAAGCUUGAGUCUCGUAGAGGGGGGUAGAAUUCCAGGUGUAGCGGUGAAAUGCGUAGAGAUCUGGAGGAAUACCGGUGGCGAAGGCGGCCCCCUGGACGAAGACUGACGCUCAGGUGCGAAAGCGUGGGGAGC
rnacentral:rRNA from 1 species